CAAUAGCGUAUAUUAAAGUUGUUGCAGUUAAAAAGCUCGUAGUUGGAUUUGUGGCGUACGGUGUGUUCCGGGCACUUGUUGUCUGAGUAACCUGCUGUUGCCAUCCUUGGGUGGAACCUGUGUGGCAUUAGGUUGUCGUGCAGGGGAUGCCCAUCAUUUACUGUGAAAAAAUUAGAGUGUUCAAAGCAGGCUUAUGCCGGUGAAUAUAUUAGCAUGGAAUAAUGAGAUAGGACUUUUUUGCUAUUUUGUUGGUUUGCGCAAAGAGGUAAUGAUUAAUAGGGACAGUUGGGGGUAUUCGUAUUCCAUUGUCAGAGGUGAAAUUCUUGGAUUUUUGGAAGACGAACUACUGCGAAAGCAUUUACCAAGGAUGUUUUCAUUAA
rnacentral:rRNA from 1 species